rnacentral:misc_RNA from 1 species
ACAAACUUGGUCAUUUAGAGGAAGUAAAAGUCGUAACAAGGUUUCCGUAGGUGAACCUGCGGAAGGAUCAUUCAAAAUAAAAGUGAAUUUAUGGCACUUUUAAAAAAAAAUCCAUAUCCACCUUGUGUGCAAUGUAAUGAGAGAGAGAAAGUAGUAUAAAUAUUUAUUUAUUUAUAAUUCUUCUCUCUUUUAUAUAUUAUCAACUCUAUGCUUUGAAACCUGUUUGUCUGAAGCAAAAAUAUUCUUGAAUAACUUAAUUCAAAAAUACAACUUUCAACAACGGAUCUCUUGGCUCUCGCAUCGAUGAAGAACGCAGC